rnacentral:rRNA from 1 species
ACGGAGGGUGCGAGCGUUAAUCGGAAUCACUGGGCGUAAAGCGCACGUAGGCGGUGUCGUAAGUCGGAUGUGAAAGCCCUCGGCUCAACCGGGGAACUGCAUUCGAUACUGCGACGCUUGAGUGCCGGAGAGGGUGGCGGAAUUCCAGGUGUAGGCCGGCAGGCCGUAGAUGUCUGGAGGAGGAGCGGUGGCGAAGGCGGCAACCUGGCUAGAAUCUGACGUUGAGCUGCGAGAGCGAGUGGAUGGAAGAG